rnacentral:rRNA from 1 species
GACGUAGGGGGCGAGCGUUGUCCGGAUUUAUUGGGCGUAAAGAGCGCGUAGGCGGCCCGGAAAGUCGGAUGUGAAAACCCGGGGCUCAACCCCGGGCCUGCAUCCGAUACUCCCGGGCUGGAGGCAGGUAGGGGAGAUCGGAAUUCCUGGUGUAGCGGUGAAAUGCGCAGAUAUCAGGAGGAACACCGGUGGCGAAGGCGGAUCUCUGGGCCUGUCCUGACGCUGAGGCGCGAAAGCUAGGGGAGCGAACGGG